UACGGGGGGGGCAAGCGUUGUUCGGAAUUACUGGGCGUAAAGGGCGCGUAGGCGGUUUGUUAAGUUGGAUGUGAAAACUCUGGGCUUAACCCAGAGCCUGCAUCCAAAACUGGCAGGCUAGAGUUUUGGAGGGGGAAGCGGAAUUCCUGGUGUAGCAGUGAAAUGCGUAGAUAUCAGGAGGAACACCGGUGGCGAAGGCGGCUUCCUGGACAAAAAACUGACGCUGAGGCGCGAAAGCUAGGGGAGCAAACAGG
rnacentral:rRNA from 1 species